AGCCUUGUAUUCAUUUAUGUGAUUAUAGAAUGCAAUUCUGUAGGGGUUAGUUGAAAAGACUUACCAAGGCCU
rnacentral:tRNA from 2 species